rnacentral:rRNA from 1 species
GAUGAACGCUGGCGGCGUGCUUAACACAUGCAAGUCGAACGGAGCACCCCUGAAGGAGUUUUCGGACAACGGAAGGGACUGCUUAGUGGCGGACGGGUGAGUAACGCGUGAGGAACCUGCCUUGGAGUGGGGAAUAACAGCUGGAAACAGCUGCUAAUACCGCAUAAUAUAUCUGGGCCGCAUGGCUCUGGAUAUCAAAGAUUUAUCGCUCUGAGAUGGACUCGCGUCUGAUUAGCUAGUUGGCGGGGUAACGGCCCACCAAGGCGACGAUCAGUAGCCGGACUGAGAGGUUGGCCGGCCACAUUGGGACUGAGACACGGCCCAG